rnacentral:rRNA from 1 species
GACGAACGCUGGCGGCGUGCUUAACACAUGCAAGUCGAACGAUGAAGCUGGAGCUUGCUCCGGCGGAUUAGUGGCGAACGGGUGAGUAACACGUGAGCAAUCUGCCCUUCACUCUGGAGUAACUGCGGGAAACUGUAGCUAAUACCGGAUAAGAAGCCUUGGGGCAUCCCGGGGCCUGGGAAGAAUUUCGGUGAAGGAUGAGGUCGCGGCCUAUCAGCUAGUUGGUGAGGUAAUGGCUCAGCAAGGCGACGACGGGUAGCCGGCCUGGGGGGGUGGCCGGCCACACUGGGACUUAGACACGGCCCAGACUCCUACGGGAGGCAGCAGUGGGGAAUAUUGCACAAUGGGCGAAAGCCUGAUGCAGCAACGCCGCGUUAGGGAUGAAGGCCUUCUUGUUGUAAACCUCUUUUAGUAGGGAAGAAGCGAAAGUGACGGUACCUACAGAAAAAGCACCGGCUAACUACGUGCCAGCCGCCGCCGUAA